AAUAUCUUUCUGGGUGGUUAGAAGCCAUGAGAAAUUCUUCCUUCUGCUCUCUCCCUGUAGGAUCUUCUCAGGAGGAUGCAAAUGAAAGCAUGAAGACUUCAGACAUCACAGAGGCUCAGAAAAAACUCAGAAAAAGACAGAGAAUGAGAGAACAGAAGAAGUUGAAGCAGCAGAAUCUUCUUCUAUGAGAUAUUCUUUUUGAAAUUUAUGCAAAGAGAAUGCAGCUUUGUAAAGGGAGCUGAGCAUAAUCCCAAACACUGAUGAGAAUGCUUGGACAAUGAAGGUAACUGUUAAUUAGUGUGGAAAACAGCAAAAAAGACCUGCCAGGAGGAUUUCAGAACCCACCAGACUGCAGCCUAACAGUUAGGACAUGCUUGCGUGAGUUUAACUGUUCUUGGUUAAGAGACAGACUUAAAAUCUCUGACUCUUGGAUUAAAAAAAAAAAAAAAAAAAAAAAAAAAAAGAAGAAGAAAAAGAAGAAAAAGAAAAAGAAAGACCGGAUAAAAUGGAAAUAGAAACAAAACACUUCAAUUUGCUGAGAAUGAAAUCUGUGCAAACACUUUUUGUAAUCCUCAACUAGAUUCAGAGAAAUGAGUGGUUUUUAAACCCUGACAGUGUAUAAAUAUAAAUUACAUGCUUAGCUGCUCAGUGCCAUCAAAAUGUGCAUGGUUCUGGGCAUACCCUGAAGGAGACAUUUAUCUGCUGGUAGAAGUUGACUGGUGGAAGUGCAAUCACUUAAGGAACCAUUUCUGUUAAUGCGAAGGCUGCUGUUGAUGACUGCCUGCUGCUUUAUUCUUCGGGACUGACUGCUUGGCUGACUUUGAACUUGUUGGUUGGGUUUUAUAAGAAAAAAUGUAGACGUUUACAGCAUAGGUAUCUACAUUUGACCCACUGUCCUUGACUCUUUCCCCAUUCAUCAUUUGUUUACUUAGUAUAGAAAAUAUGAAGAUCUGUGAGGAAUGUAUUUGUGUUUGACAAAAUGAAGUUCAUUGUUUUUAAAGAAGUUUUAUACAUAAAAAGGAAACAGAUGCUG
rnacentral:lncRNA from 7 species